GUGAACGCUGGCGGUAGGCCUAACACCUGCAAGUCGCACGGCAGCACAGUAAGAGCUUGCUCUUACGGGUGGCGAGUGGCGGACGGGUGAGGAAUACAUCGGAAUCUACUUUUUCGUGGGGGAUAACGUAGGGAAACUUACGCUAAUACCGCAUACGACCUACGGGUGAAAGCAGGGGAUCUUCGGACCUUGCGCGAUUGAAUGAGCCGAUGUCGGAUUAGCUAGUUGGCGGGGUAAAGGCCCACCAAGGCGACGAUCCGUAGCUGGUCUGAGAGGAUGAUCAGCCACACUGGAACCGAGACACGGUCCAGACUCCUACGGGAGGCAGCAGUGGGGAAUAUUGGACAAUGGGCGCAAGCCUGAUCCAGCCAUACCGCGUGGGUGAAGAAGGCCUUCGGGUUGUAAAGCCCUUUUGUUGGGAAAGAAAAGCAGCAGGUUAAUACCCCGCUGUUCUGACGGUACCCAAAGAAUAAGCACCGGCUAACUUCGUG
rnacentral:rRNA from 1 species